GCAGAGGCUGGGCCCAGAUGCCAUGCGAGCUCCAGGCCACUUUCCCAGAGAAGUGAGCGGCGGCCAGGCUGCCGGAGGCGGUGUGGCCUCUUCAGGCCCUCACUGGUCCUGAUUUUGAGGGGUGACUCAUGCCGGCUUGGACAUCCACUUCUGGCUCAAGUUGCUCUGGGUUCCUCCACACAGACCAGAGGGAUUCCUGCGUCACAGGAAUCCAGGAAGGGGUGGGGGGAGUUGCAGGUUGAGAAGACAGAGAGUGUCAUUCUCUUGCCCAGGCUGGAGUGCAGCGGUGCGAUCUCAGCUCACAGCAACUUCCAUCUCCUGGAUGCAAAUGAUUCUCCUGCCUCAGCCUCCCAGGAGUCCAAUCCUCGAAGGUGGGAGAGUCCAGAGAAGAAAAGAGCCAAAUGGAGGAAGAGGACCCUGGGAACCCUUGGGUGCCGCAGAGCUUGGGAGGUGACGCGUCUGGCCCAACUCUGCUCCUCUCUGCCGGUUCCCAAAGCCAGAAGUAGGAAGCUCCCUUAUCCUGUCUUU
rnacentral:lncRNA from 10 species